ACUCACAUAGACCAGUGGUCAAGACACCUCGAAAUGAUUCACAUAAAAUACAUCUUUAUUUAGACGGGAGUUCGAAUCUUCCUGUGAGUA